ensembl:lncRNA
GUGGUCUUCGUUGGAGGUGUUGCUAGAUGCCAGUGGUCUUGGUUAGCGGUGUUGCUAGAUGGCAGUGGUCUUCGUUAGAGGUGUUGCUAGAUAGCAGUGGUCUUGGUUAGCAGUGUUGCUAGAUGCAGUGGUCUUGGUUAGCGGUGUUGCUAGAUGCAGUGGUUAGCGGUGUUGCUAGAUGCAGUGGUUAGCGGUGUUGCUAGAUGGCAGUGAUCUUGGUUAGCGGUGUUGCUAGAUGGCAGUGGUUAGCGGUGUUGCUAAAUGGCAGUGGUCUUGGUUAGCGGUGUUGCUAGAUGGCAGUGGUCUUGGUUAGAGGUGUUGCUAGAUGGCAGUGGUCUUCGUUAGAGGUGUUGCUAGAUAGCAGUGGUCGUCGUUAGCGGUGUUGCUAGAUGCAGUGGUCUUGGUUAGCGGUGUUGCUAGAUGUAGUGGUUAGCGGUGUUGCUAGAUGGCAGUGGUCUUGGUUAGCAGUGUUGCUAGAUGCAGUGGUCUUGGUUAGCGGUGUUGCUAGAUGCAGUGGUUAGCGGUGUUGCUAGAUGCAGUGGUUAGCGGUGUUGCUAAAAGGCAGUGGUCUUGGUUAUUGGUGUUGCUAGAUGGCAUUGGUCUUGGUUAGAGGUGUUGCUAAAUGUCAGUGGUUAGAGGUGUUGCUAAAUGGCAUUGGUCUUGGUUAGCGGUGUUGCUAGAUGCAGUGGUUAGCGGUGUUGCUAAAAGGCAGUGGUCUUGGUUAUUGGUGUUGCUAGAUGGCAGUGGUCUUCGUUAGAGGUGUUGCUAAAUGUCAGUGGUUAGAGGUGUUGCUAAAUGGCAUUGGUCUUGGUUAGCGGUGUUGCUAGAUGCAGU